AAGAGGGAAAGAUAAACAGAAGCAGGUUUAGGAAUCCCAAGGGAAGCAAGUGCACUAGCCGGGAAUAUCUAAGCUUUCUGUUCGGAUCGGCCUACCUCUGGACUAAGGAAAAAAGACAUGGUUUUCUUUUCAGAAGAAACUAACCGGCUGAAGAUGUUAACAGCCAGUAGGGAUAAAUGGAAGAGAAAAAUAGUUGUAAAACUGCUAGGAAAGUCUCUUUUUUCCAUAUUGUUUUUACAUUUGGAAACAAUGUGAGCUCUCUCCUUACUGAAAUUUAAGUUUAUGCAACAGUGCUCCCAUUUUUUAUAAUCCCAAUACUAUUUGUAAAAGAGCUAACUUUUAGAUUAGAAAAACAUCAUUUUGAACAAUUUUUUUAGAGGCCAUAAACCAAAGGUUAUUUCAUGCCCCUCUUCCACUAACAAAAUGAAACUCAGGUCACAGAUAUUUUACAAGCUGCAGUUUGGACAUGUCAGUGUUCGAAUGGGUCAGUUUAAGAGUCUUCUCUCCCCCGAGGCUGCGGGACACAUCCCCAGCGAGAAGGACAAUCACGCAGCCCGGGCUUAGUGCCGUGCUUCCCAAUAAGCGGUUUCAUUAGUAAAUCGGGGAGUAACUCCGUCCUGCAAUAAAAUCAAUCAGGUACCAACAGAGAGCUGAAGGAAAGUAUCACCAGACUGAAUUUCAGAGCGCUGCCUAAUUGUUCUUUUUUAAUGAAUGUAUAUUUUAUUCAUUUAAAAAAGAUUCAAUAUGAUUCCAAGUAGAUUUUUCUUGAGAACAUAUCUAGAUAUUUAAAAAUCAAAUUGAAUAUUUUAAAUGAGUGAAAUAUAUGUGCCUUUUUUUUAAAAAAAAGGAUGUUUUCAAUUUAAAAAUGCAGUUAAUAGGAUGAGGAAGAUACUUGGAAUGGUUGAUUAAUUUGUUUAUUACAUGAACCCAACAGGAACAGAAUGUUAAUAUUGAAUUAACUUAUGUUAUCAGAAUGUCAUGGGGCAAAAUAAAAUUACAUAUACAGUUAUCACUGAA